ensembl:lncRNA
AUGUGGACUCCUACCAAAACCAAAAUGUGGACUGAAGUAAAACUUUUGUUGGGUCUGAAAAAGUUUCAUAACCAUCCUUGGUGUGUUUCAUUUUCAUGCUCUGUUUGCAUGCUUCACGGCUUUCUAGUUCUACUAAAAGCAGAAGUGCCACAAUAUUUUAAUGACGUUUCUUCUGAUGACACUGAAAGACCAGGUGUUAACAGUCAACAACAUGUCAGGAAGAGGAUGCAGACUUUCCUAAGAGACUGUAGCCUUCCCUUGAGGAGCAGCCAUACAGUGAACGCCUUCAGGGCAAGGACUGUGCCUGAUUCUGUAUCUCCAGCUUCGUCCAUAGUGUUUGGUACACACACUUAUCCUUCCUGCCACCAUGUGAAGAAGGACGUGUUUGCUUCCCCUUUUGCCAUGAUUGUAAGUUUCCUGAGGCCUACCCAGCCAUACUGAACUGUGAGUCAAUUAAACCUCUUUCCUUUAUAAAUUUCCCAGUCUUGGGUAUGUUUUUAUUAGCAGUGUUAGAAUGGACUAAUACCCAGAAUUAAAAAGAGUAUUUGAGUUCUUUGUUUUGUCCAUUGUUAGUUUCUCAUUCAUCUUUCUACAGUCAGUACUAAAGAUAUAGCAUCAUUGAAGUGUAGUUGGUUGGAAUCUCUUCCUUUAAUCAAGAGAUUUUUAAAAAUUUAGUGCUUUUUAUAGGACACUCUUAUGAAUUGAACUGUGUCCUCCAUAAAGGUAUGUUAAAGCCUUAGUAAAGAUACAUGUGAAUGUAACCUUAUUCGCAAGCAGGAUCAUUGCAGGUGUAAUCAAGUUAAGAUAAUGUCAUACUGGAUUAGGCUGGUGAUACCAUUUGGCUCUGUGUCCCCACUCAAAUCUUAUCUUGUAGCUCCCAUAAUUCCCAUGUGUUGUGGGAGGGACCUGGUGUGAGAUGACUGAAUCAUGGGGGUGGGUCGUACCUGUGCUGUUCUCAUGAUAGUGAAUGAGUCUCAAGAAAUCUGAUGGCUUUAAAAAUGGGAGUUUCCCUGCAGAAGCUCCUCUCUUUGCCUGUUGCCAUCCAUGUAAGAUGUGACUUGCUCCUCCUUGCCUUCCACCAUGAUUGUGAGGCCUCCCCAGCCAUGUGGGACUAUAAGUCCAAUAAACCUCUUUCUUUAGUAAAUUGCAGUCUUGGGUAUGUCUUUAACAGCAGUAUGUAAACGGACUAAUAUAGUUGGAUUAGUGAUUGGAAUGAUGCUUCUACAAGCCAAGGAAUGCCAGGUAUUACUGGCAACCACCAGAAGCUGGAAGAAAUAAUGAAGGAUAGACCACCAGAGCUUUUAGAGACAGCAUGGUCCUGCCAACAUUUUGAGUCCAUACUUCUAGCCUCUGGAACAAUGUAACAAUGCAUUCCUGUUGUUGUAAGCCACCAAAUUUGUGGUCAUUCGUUAUGAUAGUCCCAGGAAACUAAUAAAGACAGUGUUACUUUGGGUUACCUUAUGUAAUAAAGUUAGUCCUCCAAGGAAUAAACUUUUUGGCUCUUCUGUCUCAGAAUUGAGUACUAAUAAUAAUCCAUUCUGGAUGGAUACUCCCAAAUGAGUAACCACACCAUUUUUCAAAAACACUAUGGUGAAACUUGCAUUAUGGUAUAUUGUUUAUUCAUAAUAAGCUAUCUAUAGAUAUCCACUGUACAAAAUGGACACUCAAGCUAACAUAUUUGCUAUUUGCUAAAUUAAUUCCACCC